GAUGAACGCUGGCGGCGUGCCUAAUACAUGCAAGUCGAGCGAACGGACGAGCAGCUUGCUUCUCUGAUGUUAGCGUCGGACGGGUGAGUAACAUGUGGCUAACCUACCUUUAAGACUGGGAUAACCUCGGGAAACCGGAGCUAAUACCGGAUGAUAUUUUGAACCGCAUGGCUCAAAAGUUUAAGACGUUCUUGCUGUCACUUAUCGAUGGUUCCGCGCUGCAUUAGCUAGUUGGUAAGGUAACGGCUUACCAAGGCAACGAUGCAUAGCCGACCUGAGAGGGUGAUCGGCCACACUGGAACUGAGACACGGUCCAGACUCCUACGGGAGGCAGCAGUGGGGAAUCUUCCGCAAUGGGCGAAAGCCUGACGGAGCAACGCCGCGUGAGUGAUGAAGGUCUUCGGAUCGUAAAACUCUGUUAGCAGGGAAGAAAAUAUGUGUAAGUAACUGUGCUCAGCAUGACGGUACCUAAACAGGAAGCAACGGCUAACUACGUG
rnacentral:rRNA from 1 species